UCAUCUGAACAGUAUGACUGUCAGGAUGUAGCUGGGACAUACUGCUCCAUGUGGAAGGUAGACCUGGGAGCUAAGAGUCAGCAAAUUCCAUCAUACCUAARCAAGAAGAGCAAAGCAGGUUCACCAACAGUCCAGGCAACAGCGGGCAACCUAUUUUGAGUGAAGAAUUUAGCUACAAACUUUAUCUAGCUACAAAGUUUCUGAGCAUCCAUAGUUCUACCUGGAAAAUCUGGGGAAACUGAGAUGGUGCAAGGCAGAAACCUUUUUUUGUCUCUCUCCAGGCCCUUGAGGAGGUUGCUUUAGACAGGUCUCUAAGUAGCAACCAGCUUGCAGUUCUUYGGUGCUCAGUGGUCCACUUUCUUCUCCCCAUUCCUCCCGUUCGGGACAGUGACUGGUGACAGCAGCACUGACACUGGCUGAGUACAGCAGGUGGCAGGAGGAGGCAGUGAGCAGCUGCAUUGACCUCACACACACACAUACAYUGGUGCCCGAAAAGGCUAGAAAUAAAACCSCAUAGACCRGUGUCUAUAKAGCAGGUAUUUGUUUAUUGCAGCGCUGUGUAGCACUGGGGGUGAGGGGAUCCCUCCUCCUAACCCACCUGCCUUYGCUUAAAAUUGGCAUGUAUUUAUACAGUAAGUAUUGCAUAACAUUAUCAUCAUCACUAUGCCCACCACCAUAURUGGGUUC